UGGCGGACGGGUGAGUAAUGCCUAGGAAUCUGCCUGGUAGUGGGGGAUAACGUUCGGAAACGAACGCUAAUACCGCAUACGUCCUACGGGAGAAAGCAGGGGACCUUCGGGCCUUGCGCUAUCAGAUGAGCCUAGGUCGGAUUAGCUAGUUGGUGAGGUAAUGGCUCACCAAGGCGACGAUCCGUAACUGGUCUGAGAGGAUGAUCAGUCACACUGGAACUGAGACACGGACCAGACUCCUACGGGAGGCAGCAGUGGGGAAUAUUGGACAAUGGGCGAAAGCCUGAUCCAGCCAUGCCGCGUGUGUGAAGAAGGUCUUCGGAUUGUAAAGCACUUUAAGUUGGGAGGAAGGGCAUUAACCUAAUACGUUAGUGUUUUGACGUUACCGACAGAAUAAGCACCGGCUAACUCUGUGCCAGCAGCCGCGGUAAU
rnacentral:rRNA from 1 species